rnacentral:rRNA from 1 species
CAGGAUGAACGCUGGCGGCGUGCCUAAUACAUGCAAGUCGAACGGCAGCAGCAAUGCUGUAGUGGCGAACGGGUGAGUAACACGUUGGUGACCUGCCCCAAAGAUGGGAAUAACACCUGGAAACGGGUGGCAAAACCGAAUAAGCUUGAGGGAGUUAGAGAGCCUCAAGUAAAAGAGGAAUCUACUUUGGGAGGGGCCUGCGGCCCAUCAGUUAGUUGGUGAGGGUAACGGCCCACCAAGACGGCGACGGGUAGGGGACCUGAGAGGGUGGUCCCCCACAAUGGAACUGAAACACGGUCCAUACACCUGCGGGUGGCAGCAGUAGGGAAUAUUGCUAAAUGGGCGAAAGCCUGAAGCAGCAACGCCGCGUGGACGAAGGAGGCCUUCGGGUCGUAAAGUCCUUUUAUGUGGGAAAAGGAAGGAUGGUACCACAUGAAUAAGUCUCGGCUAACUACGUGCCAGCAGCCGC